rnacentral:rRNA from 1 species
UACGUAGGGUGCAAGCGUUGUCCGGAAUUAUUGGGCGUAAAGAGCUCGUAGGCGGUUUGUCGCGUCUGCUGUGAAAACUCGGGGCUUAACUCCGGGCCUGCAGUGGGUACGGGCAGACUAGAGUGCGGUAGGGGAGACUGGAAUUCCUGGUGUAGCGGUGAAAUGCGCAGAUAUCAGGAAGAACACCCGUGGCUAAGGCGGUUCUCUAGUACGGUACUGACGCUGAGACGCGAAAGCGUGGGGAGCGAACAGG